GAUGAACGCUGGCGGCGUGCUUAACACAUGCAAGUCGAACGAUGAAGCCCAGCUUGCUGGGUGGAUUAGUGGCGAACGGGUGAGUAACACGUGAGUAUACUGCCCUUGACUCUGGGAUAAGCCUGGGAAAAUGGGUCUAUUACUGGAUAUGACUUCUCAUCGCAUGGUGGGGGGUGGAGAGAUUUACUGGUCUUGGAUGGACUCGCGGCCUAUCAGCUUGUUGGUGAGGUAAUGGCUCACCAAGGCGACGACGGGUAGCCGGCCUGAGAGGGUGACCGGCCACACUGGGACUGAGACACGGCCCAGACUCCUACGGGAGGCAGCAGUGGGGAAUAUUGCACAAUGGGCGCAAGCCUGAUGCAGCGACGCCGCGUGAGGGAUGACGGCCUUCGGGUUGUAAACCUCUUUCAGUAGGGAAGAAGCGAGAGUGACGGUACCUGCAGAAGAAGCGCCGGCUAACUACGUG
rnacentral:rRNA from 1 species